AACGAACGCUGGCGGCAUGCCUAACACAUGCAAGUCGAACGAGACCUUCGGGUCUAGUGGCGCACGGGUGCGUCACGCGUGGGAACCUGCCCUUAGGUUCGGAAUAACUCCCCGAAAGGGGUGCUAAUACCGGAUAAUGUCUUCGGACCAAAGAUUUAUCGCCUUUGGAUGGGCCCGCGUUGGAUUAGCUAGUUGGUAGGGUAAAAGCCUACCAAGGCGACGAUCAAUAGCUGGUCUGAGAGGAUGAUCAGCCACACUGGGACUGAGACACGGCCCAGACUCCUACGGGAGGGAGCAGAGGGGAAUAUUGGACAAUGGGCGAAAGCCUGAUCCAGCAAUGCUGCGUGAGUGAUGAAGGCCUUAGGGUUGUAAAGCUCUUUUACCCGGGAUGAUAAUGACAGUACCGGGAGAAUAAGCUCCGGCUAACUCCGUG
rnacentral:rRNA from 1 species